CAGAGGUCUCAAGCGUUGUUCGGAUUCAUUGGGCGUAAAGGGUGCGUAGGUGGCGGGGCAAGUCUGGUGUGAAAUCCCGGGGCUCAACCCUGGAACUGCACUGGAUACUGCUUUGCUAGAGUACUGGAGAGGGAACUGGAAUUUACGGUGUAGCAGUGAAAUGCGUAGAUAUCGUAAGGAAGACCAGUGGCGAAGGCGAGUUCCUGGACAGUUACUGACACUGAGGCACGAAGGCCAGGGGAGCAAACGGGAUUAGAUACCCCGGUAGUCCUGGCAGUAAACGGUGCGCGUUUGGUGUAGGAGGAUUCGACCCCUUCUGUGCCGGAGCUAACGCGUUAAACGCGCCGCCUGGGGAGUACGGUCGCAAGAUUA
rnacentral:rRNA from 1 species